rnacentral:tRNA from 1 species
ACCUGGCUGGCUCUUUCGGCGGAGCAUGUGACUCUUAAUCUCAGGUUGUGAGUUCAAGCCCCAUGUUGGGUG